rnacentral:misc_RNA from 1 species
GAACUGCGAUAAGUAAUGUGAAUUGCAGAAUUCAGUGAAUCAUCGAGUCUUUGAACGCACAUUGCGCCCCCUGGUAUUCCGGGGGGCAUGCCUGUCCGAGCGUCAUUGCUACCCUCAAGCGCGGCUUGUGUGUUGGGCCCCGUCCGCCCCUCUCCGGGGGGGACGGGCCCGAAAGGCAGCGGCGGCACCGCGUCCGGUCCUCGAGCGUAUGGGGCUCUGUCACGCGCUCUGUGGGGCCGGCCGGCGCCAGGCCAUCGAACCCAUCAACCUCUCCAGGUUGACCUCGGAUCAGGUAGGGAUACCCGCUGAACUUAA